rnacentral:rRNA from 1 species
UACAGAGGUCCCAAGCGUUGUUCGGAUUCACUGGGCGUAAAGGGUGCGUAGGUGGUGAGGUAAGUCGGAUGUGAAAUCUCCGAGCUCAACUCGGAAAUGGCAUUGGAAACUACCUUGCUAGAGGGUUGGAGGGGGGACUGGAAUGCUUGGUGUAGCAGUGAAAUGCGUAGAUAUCAAGUGGAACACCAGUGGCGAAGGCGAGUCCCUGGACAACUCCUGACACUGAGGCACGAAAGCUAGGGGAGCAAACGGG